UUCUUCUGAUAAUGUGUGCAUCCAAGAUUCUAGCAUCAGCAUGGGCUAUGAUGCCAUUUCUUUAAAAAGUGGUUGGGACGAAUACGGUAUAUCCUAUGCAAGACCUACUGCAAAUGUCCAGAUACAAAACGUUUACCUCAAGGCAGCUUCUGGUGCAUCCAUUUCCUUUGGAAGUGAAAUGUCUGGUGGCAUAUCUGACGUCGUGGUCCGAGAUGCUCACAUACACAACUCGUUAUCGGGGGUUGCCUUUAGAACAACUAAAGGAAGAGGCGGCUACAUGAAAGAGAUUGAUGUUUCGAACAUCAACAUGGUCAAUGUUGGUGUUGCGUUUCUAGCAAAUGGUAGCUUUGGAACUCACCCGGAUUCGGGUUUUGAUGCAAAUGCUUACCCGCUAGUGAGUCACAUCAUGUUACAUGACAUUGUUGGAGAGAACAUAAGCAUAGCUGGAGAGUUCUUUGGAACUAAAGAGUCUCCUUUCACUUCGGUUUUGCUAUCUAAUAUCUCUCUGUCGAUGAACUCGGAUUCUCCUGAUGAUGAUGAUUCUUGGCAAUGCUCGUAUGUGGAGGGUUCUUCAGAAUCUGUUGUCCCUGAACCGUGCUUUGAGCUGAAGGGUUUUGAAAGUUCAUACGGCAGAGCUGUGGCCUUGUGAGAAACAAAAAUUAAUGUCUCCAUGAUUCAUAUUUGUUUUGUUGAAGUUAGCAGAAAGGUCAGAUUCUUUUUUCCUUAAAUAAACCCCAAUGUCAGAUGUUAUUAUUUGCAGUUUGUGAGAUUCUUAUAUCUUGUACAGGUUCAUUUGUUCAUUCAUAUGUAACCGAAAAAAGUUUUGUUCAGUGGAUAUUCUUCAUGUUGCUUAACGAAAGAUGGUUAAGUCAUCAGUUUCUUUUCUGUUUUCAGACUUUUGUUUGGGAUGUAUUCAAUUUAAUAUUUAGAGUUUGAAUUAAUUUAUUUUUAAUGAGUUUUUGCGAGAUUUUAGAUGAACUACAAAAUAUUAAGAUUUUAUUUAAAACACUCCAAAUCUCCUAUAAAACCAUAUAAUUUGAAUAAUUAUAUUUUAACUAAAAUUUGUUACUUACAUAUUUUUAAUAACAAUAAAAUUUAUAAUAUAUUACAAAAUAUAAAUUCAAUAAUCACCCAUUACUCACAUAUUUUCAAUAACAAUAAAAUUUAUAAUGUAUUGCAAAAUAUAAAUUCAAUAAUAAUUGAUUUUAAAUUUUUUUUUUUCAAAUUAUGUUUAAACAAUAGUGUAAUUGACAGACAAAUCACUCCAAAGUCUAAACUGAAUAUAUCCCCUUUGUGCUUCUCCUAACUGUGAAGAGGCUUUAUGGCCCAAUAAAUAUGUCAGCCUGUUGAUAAAGCUCGGCCCAGUAACGAAAAGCUGCUUCGUGACCCAGUAGUGAAGGAGCGGCUUGCGUCAAGAGACGCUACCGAACGCAACCCUUCACUUCCCCCACCCACCCACACCAUCUUCCUCUUUUCCCCCACAUCUGUAACAUUUAUUUAUUUUCUACUGUCUCAACUAAAUUUUUCUAUUUAAGUAAAAAUAAUACUAAUCGAGUGUCUGCCACUAGAAAUUGAAAUAAAAUUCCCCCAUGAUUUUAUUUUUCUUCUCCAUUUUUUUCGUACACGAUAAAUAAUAUAAAUCGAAAUUCCCAAUCCUUCAUCUUCCCAAUCUCUCUAAAACCCUAGACUCACUUUCAACUCAAGCAGACAGGACUUUAAAACCACAUCCACUCUUGUUUUUAUUACCGGAGAAGAAAUAAUUUCAACUUUUAUUUUUGGUUGUGUGUUUUUGUUUUUCUCUUUGGAGCGAUCGAUUCUGUAACAAUCACAAUGUCGAGUUCAAUCGCAAGAACAGCGAUUCGUGGUGAGAAUCGGUUCUACAACCCGCCGGCCAUGAGGAGGAUGCAGCAAGAGGCGCAAUUGCAACAGCAGUUAAGGGAGAAGCAAGGAGAAGUGGAUAACGAGCCUAAGGCAAAGCUGCCGCAGCCUCUUCGUACCCGGAAAAGUCAUGGGAAGAGCAAGAAUCGGGUUGUUUCCUCCGGGUCUGAAGUAUCCGUAGCCUCAUCUGAAUCUUCCGGGUCGGGUCGGCUUCACAGAGAAGCCUCUAACUUGGAUCGGUUCUUGGAACACACCACUCCCUUUGUCCCUGCCAUGGUAAGACGAUUUCAAUAUCUUAAAAGUUAGAAAUGUCAUUUAGUACUCAUCGAACCAGAGAGUUUAUGUGUUUUGUCUUAACGAAGGUCAUUAGAGAUUUAAAUUCUGGAAGUAAAAGUUAGAAAUGUCGUUUAUCUCUGAUUUGAACCAGAUAGAUUAUCCUGUUUUGUCUUAAUAUUAGUGGAAACUUAGUAUGUAUAGCUAUUUCAUUUUGCUUUUAAACCUUUUUUAUAUUGUUGAUUUGAAUUGGGAUGACUCAAGAGUUUUUUCAGUGUAGACCCAUCUUUUGAUCAUUGCUAACUGCUGCACUUAUGUUUUCCAGAGGAGCAAAAGGGAACUUAAAACCGGUGAAUCGGAGAGCAGUUCAUAUUUUGUACUUGAGGAUCUGUGGGAGUCGUUUGCGGAGUGGAGUGCGUACGGUGCUGGUGUUCCUCUCCAUAUGGAUGGGAGUGACUCCACUGUGCAGUACUAUGUGCCUUAUUUAUCCGGCAUUCAGUUGUAUGUAGUAGACCCAUCUAACAAGGCCAGGUUAAUUUUUCAACAACUCUUUCUGUUUUUUUUUUUUUUUCAUUUCACAGUUUUGAUUAUUUGACUUUUGUUACAGAAAUAAAGUUGAAGAUAAUGAAGGAAGCAGCCACAGUAAUAGUGGUAAGACUCUGCAGAGUGAGGUGGACUUGAGUGUCAGCGAACUGAAUAGAGUCAGUCUUGGAGAUCAAUCUGGAGAGACUGAGAUCACCAAUCCUCAAGGACGGUUACUAUUUGAGUAUUUGGAGUAUGAACCUCCCUUUGGCCGUGAACCUCUCGCUAACAAAGUAAAAUUCCCUCCUAAACAAAAGUCAUCUACUUCCUUUAUUUUGAUUUUUUUUCAUAUUUUCACAUUUUAAGUAAGUUUAUCAUAACACCAGGUAUCAGAUCUAGCUUCAAGAUUCCCUGAGCUAAUGACAUACAAGAGCUGUGACCUUUCUCCAUCAAGUUGGGUCUCUGUGUCAUGGUAUGUUUCCUUUGAACCCCUCUCUUGAUUUCUUGAGAUCUUUGUUAUAUGAUGAUCUUUUACUUCAUUGGUGUGUAGGUAUCCAAUAUACAGAAUACCAGUUGGUGCAACACUACAGAACCUUGAUGCAUGCUUUCUAACUUUCCACUCUCUCUCAACACCCCCACCUCCUCUAAGUAAGUAACCUUAUGCCUCUAAUGUUAACAUUACAUCGCCUAUUUGUCUUACAAGGUCUUGUGUAUGUAUAGAAGCAGGUUCCGUGGAACCAUCCGUUAAGCUACCGUUGCCUACUUUUGGACUCGCAUCUUAUAAGCUUAAACUAUCUGUGUGGAACCAAAACAGAGCUCAAGAGUGCCAAAAGAUAUCUUCUUUGCAAGACGCUGCAGACAAAUGGCUUAAGUGUCUGCAAGUUAAUCAUCCGGACUACAAAUUCUUUACCUCUAACAUCACACAAACGAGGUGAAAAAAGUGAAAAGCUGCUUUGGCUCUGGUCUGAUUCAAAGACAACUCAUUUAUCUACUCUACUCUACUUCACGUUAUAAAAAUUCUCUGCUUACACCAAAGUAAAACCAAGUACGUACCGGGUAAAAGACUCUUGCGUGUUUUUCAGGCGAUUUAAGAGUCUCGCUGUUUCAUUACCAGAAGAUGCUUUGUGAAUUGUAGCCUAAGCUUUCAUUUGUUCUUCUUCUGCUGAAACUAGUCUUUUGCUUUUUCCAUAUAUAGUGAUGAAAUUUGUUGAGGAGUGAUAUAAUGUUUAGAUGCAAAUCUUUUUUUUGUGAUACAAUUUGAUUGCUGAACUGGAACACAGCUUGGCUUAUAUAUCAAUUUGUUGGAGGCUUCUAGCUUUGAUCAGUCCGAUGAGAGGAAAAAGUACUUUGAUAUCCUGAAUAUUCAAAUUAAGAUCCCUCAAGUACAUCCGAUUACUGCAUAUACUCAUAAAUUACAAUCUAUUUUCAAAUGGGAUGUUCACUGUAUAGUCUGGCUACCGUUGGGCUAUUACCAAAUGGAGACAUAACUGAAAGACUGCCUUCACUAAGUUCUAACCCGGAAACUGAAAGUAAUCCCUAUGUUCAAACACUCCUUGCUACAAAAGAUAAUCUUCUAAGGAGAGGAACACUCAUGUCAAUCUACUGUCUUCCACAUGUUGUCGAAAAGCUGAAAGUUCUAACUAUUUCUUCUUUACCUGUCCUCAUGCAGUCAUAUGAUAAGGCGGCAUGGAGACGAGCUAAUACUCCAUCUCACGAAGUUUUAAAUCCUGAAUUUUUAUUUAUUGGAAAUCUGAAGAAGAUGAUCAAGUUGUAUCCCUUUAGGAUAACACAGGGCAUAACUCUGUUAAUGUGUAUGAAUAAUCCAAAUUGUAUCCCUUUGGGAUUAUAUGGAUAUUAUGGAAAUCUUGUAAAAAAUUUGUUGUUGAUUUGAUUACAUAAAACUAGUAUUGGUUUUGAUGUAUUUUUUUGUAUAUUUGUUGAUACAAUAAAUGGUUACAUAGAACACAACACCCAAAUAUAUCCCAAAGUAAGGUUUUAUGUACAAUUAUUGAUAUAUACACUAAAUCAUAUGAACACUAUAGUCAACAUAUAACCGUUUAUAAGUUCAUAUAAAACCUUACAGUAAAUGGAUAUAUUUGGGUUUUGAUAUAAUAUAUUAGCCGUAAAAUCAUAUAACCAUUUAACUGAGCCAUUAGUAUAGUUUUGAUGUAAUUUUUAUUUUUGUUCAUAUAUACAUUUUUUUUUUUUUUGCAAGAAGAGAAGAACAAAAUGUCGUUCUCUCCCUCUCGAUCUCCCCGGUGUGUUACGAAGAUCUGUCGGUGAUAAUACGUUACGAUUAUUCUUAAACCUGCUAGUACACACACUAACAUGUAUUGACUGCAAAUUAGUGGGAAUUAAUGCUAAUUUAAAUUGAGUUCAUUAAAAAUUACUCAAUUCUAUUAUUUUUUUAUUAUUAUUCUACCCCCCAAUAAUGUUUAUUCGCAUAAAAAAGGCUGUCAUUUUGGCGUUAAAUCUUUUCCUACCUUAUUUUGCUUAUUUAUUCUUGGUAGAAAAUUAUUUUAUUCUAUUAAAAAAAUAUAAUAACUCGUCUUUUGUCCACUAUCAUUUAUACUCUUCUUCCAAUCAAAACAAAAAGAAAAACUUCUCUUCUCUGUGGUCAAUAACUCUUCUCCUUCUCUCUUCUUCUUCUUUCUUCUGCUUUUUUCUCAAUACCAGGUUGCACUUGGCGCGAAAAGUUCUUCUCUUUUCGGACAGCUUUUCUUUCAGUUCCGUUUUCAGACACCUUUCUGUUUCGUUACAAAUAAAAGAUGCCAGUAAGUACGUGUUCUUAUUAUGUUUUUAGUUUCUUAAGUCUCUUGUCCUUCUUCCCCUGUCUUGUCCGAGAUUGAAUUAUAGUUGAAGCUUAUAAGUCAAACCCAUCAAUCGUUUUGCUUUCUCGGUUUCUGGGUCUCCGUCAUUUCCAUGGAUCCGUUAGAAAAAUUAAUACUUUCUUGGAUCUGAACUUUGGAAUCAGACUGUCCUGAUAUGAUCUUUUUUUGUAUGUUUUUUGGUAGGUGGCAUUAGUUUUGCUGCUGGCAUUGAGCUGUCUGAUUCAGAGCCACGGCGCCGGAAACGUAUGCGAUCUUGGUCGGAGACCAAACACGAGACCUCACAGUGUCUCGAUUCUGGAGUUUGGUGCUGUUGGAGAUGGGAAAACGUUGAACACAAUUGCGUUUCAGAACGCUGUCUUCUAUCUUAAGUCUUUCGCUGACAAAGGUGGUGCUCAGCUUUAUGUUCCUCCCGGACGGUGGCUUACCGGAAGUUUCAAUCUCACCAGUCAUCUCACUCUCUUUCUUGAGAAAGACGCUGUCAUUCUCGCCUCCCAGGUUUGCCUCCUUCUCCUCCUCUCUUACUCUAAAGCUUUGAUCAUUCUAAAGAGUAAGACCAGAGUUUGUUUGGCUUCAUUGUUUCAUAGAGGUUCUUGAUUAGAUGCAAAGAUUAAUGUCUUUUUCUGAUGGUUUGAAUCAAAGUCUGUUUCUAUUGGUCAAUGCGCUUAAAAAAUCAGUCUAGACGCCCGCCUAAUUAAUUAAUAAGAACAUUUAUGAAUUUUUGUUUCUCAUUUUGUCUCUCUGUAUAAAGGAUCCAUUGCACUGGCAAGUUGUGGAUCCGUUACCAUCAUAUGGACGAGGCAUUGAUCUACCUGGGAGGAGAUACAUGAGUUUAAUAAACGGCUAUAUGCUGCAUGAUGUAGUAGUGACAGGUUACACAUGAUUUGAACCUUUCACUUCAUUUUGUCUGUUUGUUAAUGCUAAAUAAAAAAACUCACCGUUACAUUUCCAUGUUCCUCGGUUUUUUUUAGGUGAUAACGGUACUAUAGAUGGACAAGGCCUGCUUUGGUGGGAUCGGUUUAAUUCUCACUCUUUGAAGCACAGUAGACCGCAUCUCGUCGAGUUUGUCUCUUCUGAAGAUGUCACUGUCUCAAAUCUUACCUUCUUGAAUGCUCCUGCUUAUACUAUUCACUCGGUUUAUUGUAGGUAAAAAUAGUUUCUGAAACUCCCGUUCUUAUCAAUAUAGCUCCUUUUGGUUUAGUAGAAUCUUGACUCUGGUCACUCAUAUUGUGCAGCCAUGUGUACAUAAACAAAGUAACAGCUACUACUUCUCCAGAAUCUCCUUACACCAUCGGCAUUGUCCCAGGUUAGUUGUUUUGUGUUUCUUGUUGAUUCUGGAAGUGACUUAAAUCUUGGUGCACUGGUAAAAGGCCACAUACCAAUAAAAUACCACAUUCGUUUAAUACAUUUUAGGAUUAGGAAAAAUAUUUUUUAUUGAGAUAAUGUUUCUAAAGGGAAAAAGAAUAUUGGGUUUUAAGUCUAAUAUAAAAUGGAUCUAAGAGAUUGUAAGUUAUUCAAUAUACAAACUCUAAACGGAUAUUUGACUCAAUUAUAUUUAUGCUUUCUUAAGUUUCUUUGCUUUUUUUUUGUUCACAAGAUUUUAGCCUAGUGAAAAUGAUAUGGCUUCACUUGUUUGAGUUUGCAUUUCCAAAUCAAACCUUCUUUUUUUCUUCUUUCAGAUUCUUCUGAUAAUGUGUGCAUCCAAGAUUCUAGCAUCAGCAUGGGCUAUGAUGCCAUUUCUUUAAAAAGUGGUUGGGACGAAUACGGUAUAUCCUAUGCAAGACCUACUGCAAAUGUCCAGAUACAAAACGUUUACCUCAAGGCAGCUUCUGGUGCAUCCAUUUCCUUUGGAAGUGAAAUGUCUGGUGGCAUAUCUGACGUCGUGGUCCGAGAUGCUCACAUACACAACUCGUUAUCGGGGGUUGCCUUUAGAACAACUAAAGGAAGAGGCGGCU
rnacentral:lncRNA from 1 species